CAUCAAUCUAGCGGGAGGGAAGGGAUAACCUGUCCGAGCGUAGCGCGACGCUAGGAUCGCGCCGGAAAAUCCCCCAAAAAUCAUCAAAAAAAUUAACUUACACCAGAGGGCAGUCGGCGGGGCUUCGCCAGAUGCGGCGCAGUCGAUUUUAACCGUUAGAAGAGUACCAGUUCUGGAAAACAACCAAAGUUUCUUUGAUUGAAUGCCCAUGUAAUGCAUUGGAAUAUGAUAGGCGAUUAAGGUUUAACAAUGUUAAAAUGAAGAUAUUACUAAAAUGACCCUCUAAAUAGCCCAACAAUUAUUAUUUUCUUUGUCCUGUGGAUUUGGCUUUGAAGGGUGUGCUGCUCUUAAUAAGCUUUUCAUUCUGCUGGCCAUACUUUCUCUCCCUACUCUGGACUCUUCUAGAUGACUCCAGCUGUGCUCUCCCUUAUAAUCUACAAACCCUCUCCUCAACCAUACCCUGGACCAGUCAUGUCCUCAUCUCAGACACUACUUUUCUGGUAAGAAACUGAAUUCUUUCAAUGCUUGCUUCCUUAU
rnacentral:lncRNA from 1 species